rnacentral:rRNA from 1 species
UUGGGUUUAAGGGUCCGUAGGCGGAUCUGUAAGUCAGUGGUGAAAUCUCACAGCUUAACUGUGAAACUGCCAUUGAUACUGCAGGUCUUGAGUGUUGUUGAAGUAGCUGGAAUAAGUAGUGUAGCGGUGAAAUGCAUAGAUAUUACUUAGAACACCAAUUGCGAAGGCAGGUUACUAAGCAACAACUGACGCUGAUGGACGAAAGCGUGGGGAGCGAACAGGAUUAGAUACCCUGGUAGUCCACGCCGUAAACGAUGCUAACUCGUUUUUGGAGCGCAAGCUUCAGAGACUAAGCGAAAGUGAUAAGUUAGCCACCUGGGGAGUACGAACGCAAGUUUGAAACUCAAAGGAAUUGACGGGGGCCCGCACAAGCGGUGGAUUAUGUGGUUUAAUUCGAUGAUACGCGAGGAACCUUACCAAGGCUUAAAUGGGAAAUGACAGGCUUAGAAAUAGGCUUUUCUUCGGACAUUUUUCAAGGUGCUGCAUGGUUGUCGUCAGCUCGUGCCGUGAGGUGUUAGGUUAAGUCCUGCAACGAGCGCAACCCCUGUCACUAGUUGCCAUCAUUAAGUUGGGGACUCUAGUGAGACUGCCUACGCAAGUAGAGAGGAAGGUGGGGAUGACGUCAAAUCAUCACGGCCCUUACGCCUUGGGCCACACACGUAAUACAAUGGCCGGUACAGAGGGCAGCUACACAGUGAUGUGAUGCAAAUCUCGAAAGCCGGUCUCAGUUCGGAUUGGAGUCUGCAACUCGACUCUAUGAAGCUGGAAUCGCUAGUAAUCGCGCAUCAGCCAUGGCGCGGUGAAUACGUUCCCGGGCUGGGGNAUCCCGAA